CCUCCUCUUCUCGGCGGGGGCCUGGUCCCUGUGAUGUGCUGAUGUGCGGAGGGAGAGGGCGAGGGCCCCGGCCCCCUCGGCACCACGUCUUCGGUGCCGGCGGUUUCUGGUCCGCCGGUUCUAUCAUCAAGCGCUGGGACACGG